UCCCUGGAGGACUAGUGGUUAGGCCACAGUGCUCACACCGCUGCAGCCUGGGGUCGAUUCCCGGCCAGGGCU
rnacentral:tRNA from 1 species